rnacentral:SRP_RNA from 1 species
GCCAGGCACGGUGGCAUGUGCCUGUAGUCCCAGCUACUCGGGAGGCUGAGGUGGGAGGAUCGCUUGAGCCCAGGAGUUCUGGGCUAUAGUGUGCUAUGUCGAUUGGGUGUCCACACUAAGUUCGGUGUCAAUAUGGUGACCUCCUGGGAGUGGGGGAUCACCAGGUUGCCCAAGGAGGGGUGAACCGGCCCACGUCAGAAACAGAGCAGGUCAAAACUCCUGUGCUGAUCAGUAGUGGGAUCGCGCCUGUGAAUAACCACUGCACUCCAGCCUGGGCAACAUAGUGAGACCUCAUCUCU